GAGCCCCCUUAAUUGAUUUUUCCAUGAAUAUUCUACACAUUCUCUGACAAUUUUACUACACCUGUAGCGUGAUAAAAAGUCCGGUGACCCAUACUUUCAAUUAUGAUUUUGGAUAAAAGCAUAAUAAAAACUUUAUUUCAACAAAUUAUUAAAAAUUCUAUGUAAAUUCAUUAAAACGCCCCAACCACCUUAAGACUACUGUUCCCAAUGCUCUAUUGCAGUGUCGACUACAGCGUAUCAUUUUACAGUGUAAAAGUAGUUAAAAUCAUUGUGUAGUAAAAUAG
rnacentral:lncRNA from 1 species